ensembl:lncRNA
AGCAGCAGCCACCUCGCUAGGAAGUCUCUGUCAGCGUUUGACCGCUCUCACUGUUGAGAAGUUUCUCGUAAUGCCAUGUCUGAACCUCCCCUAUAAAUAUGGAUAAAUAUGGGUAUGUUAUAAAUUGAAAAAUACAGCUUUAGCUGUUUGAUUUGGAGAAGGAACUUUUGUUUCCCGUAUGCAUUCCACUGCAGGACACCACUGCAAGUUCCUUUGCACAUAAUUCGGAACAAAUGAAAGCCAAACUGAUUUCUACAGAAGGGCCGUGAUGGGGGAGUUCUUUUUUUUUCUUCCAUACCCGCAGAUAACCAGUUCGGAUUUAUAUAAAGACAAAAAAUGGUUUGAACUCAGGCUCUCCUUCAGCGUGCCUCAGUGGGUAUCGGUUUCCUUGCAGCAGCAGGAGGAAAAAAGUCACCGUUGUGCGGAACUUCUUUUUUUUUUUUUUCGAUUAUUCAAAAGCCUCCUUAAUAAUACAGAACAGCUGAGGGGAUUCGUGUGAUUUUAUUCCCUGUCGAAGUCGCUGAGCAAUUACAUCCAGCCACAGGGCUGUGCUUGUGCUGCUGCCGGUUGUUGCUGGGUUCUCUCUGAUGCUUUGGAAGCUGUGCCCUCCCCAGCCUAACAUGCAGGCCUAUCGUUGGACAAAUCGAGGCUCCUUUGUUCUGAUGUUAAGCGCUAAGCCCUGACAACAGAGAACAAAAGGUCCAAGAACAGCUUGUGCUAAAGGCAAAACUUUCCUUUGCUUCGUCGUAAUUCUUCCUUGUUGGCUCUGAGAACCUUGGAGGAUCUUGGUAGCUGCCUCCUAGCGAGAGCAGAAAAUAUUGCAGUGCAGGGGCAAGACCUGAGGGUUCAGAUGAAAUCAUGGUGAUACUCUCCUAUCCUUUACGGACUGAACACCGGCUUGAGCAGAAAGUGUGAAGUGUGGCAAGUUCUGCUGAAGGGUCCAAUGUGUGUGGUGCAUCCGGUUGCUGGACUGAAGCAUUAAUAACUGUUACGGGCAGCUAUGGCUAUCAGCUACAGUAUUCUGAUGGAUCAGACACAGUGAGAGGCAGGAUGGUCAGAAGAAAGAGGCGCUGUGCUCUCUUUGGAGACUUUAGGAAUAUUUCCCCCUCAGACUUCUUCUUCCUGGUGGUUGUAUCUGAGGAUGUGUCAUGACUGAAUUGCCAGUGGAAGUGGAACCAUCAACCAAAUGAACAGUGACAAAUCACCGUGCCCAGACCUUGUUCAUAGCUGAAUUGCAAUGGAAAGCAAGUCUGAAAUGUCUGAACUAUUAACUGCUGUGUAUAAUGUCUUGUUUAAAACCAUCUUGAUACCAGCUAUUUCUUUGGGUAUUAUUUCUGCUUAAGAAGACGUGUUCCUUAAAUGACCAGUUGACAAAGCAGAGUGAAAAUGGACAUCUGAACAACUUUUAGGUGCAGAAUGAUACAUCACAGGAUUGAUACGUUCUCAGCUUUGCUCCGGGGCCUGAGGAGAAGGAUGAUAUUCUCAUGCUUUAAAUUCCAUGUUGGUUUCUACAGCCAUAGGGAGCACGUCCCUCUCACUGGGAGCUGGCAGGACAAGCCUUGAGCAUUGCCUGGAAGCUGAGCCCCAGCCCCAGCCCAACCCGGAGCCUCUGGCAGUGGCGGGCAGGAACCUCACCAAGAUGCACGCGCAGACUGGGACGUGAAUGCAGAGUGCUGCCUCCCUUCCAGAAGGACACACGGGUGCAUCAUCUGCUCAAUUUCAAGUUGAGAUUCAUCAAGCAAAUGUUCUUUCAG